rnacentral:lncRNA from 1 species
GAAGAAAUAGCAGACAUACAAGGACAUUUGGGGACACCCUGGGGACAGGGUGGAGCUGGCCCUGUGAGCCAGCGGGGCAUCAGGUGGAGGUGGCGCACCCAGGACCCCAGAGGGAGGGGCCCGAGCGCCAGAGCCAGCAGCGCUGCCAGGCUGAGGACCUGGGCUGUCCCCUCGCGCCCUCGCGCUGCACAGCCCAGCCUGCCGGGCCUUAUUCCCGUGUGCAGGGAGAGUCCCCCUCCGCCCCGACGACUCCUGGCCACUGCACCUGAACCAACAGGCCCCCAGGGUGGAGGACCGUCUCCUGCGCCCUGGACAGUGCUCAGGGAGGUGGGCUUGAAAGGGUCCCCCUUAUGCUGGCCUGGACUCCGGACAGCCCAGAGCCCCCUGGGUGCAGCCGCCGCUGCAAGCCGCCCGCCUCGCACCCCCGCCCAGGCCGAGCCGCCGCGCCCGUUACCUGUGCCGCUGCCCGCGUCGCCUGCGCCCGGCCGCUCCUCCACCGCUCCUUCGCCCGGCGGCUGCCGCCUUCCCACGCCGGCUGCCAGCAAGCGGCGCUGGGUUUUGUUUGCGAGCCUGGCCCCCGCGUGGCAAGCGUCCAUCUCCCCGCACAGCCGCCCCGCACCUCGCCCUCUCCGGCCGGGUGCCAGCGCGGAGGGAACUGGCACGGACGGAGCCGGCCAGCCUCCCGCAGCUGAGCGUAGCCACGCCGCCACUGCUGCUUUUUUUGUAUUUGAAACACACACGCACUCUCUCGCACACGCACACGCACGCACGCCAAGCCCCCCGCCCUGGCGACACGCAUCCCUUCUGUCAGGAGCAGCCCCAGCCAAGAAAGCCCGGCAGCGGGCGGGCGGCCGCGAGAGCCUUCCUCUCCUCGCCGCCUCCCUCCCACGCAGCCAGCGGGACUCAAGUCGCACUCGGGAGCCUUCUGAUUGGGUGCCCCUCGCUGCCCGCCACCCGCCGGCGGCCGCAUCCGGCCCUGGCCCUUCCCAGAGGGGCGCUUCUGGUGGAGCACCACUGCCCACUGGAUGGCUGGGGCCUGGCCUCCUGCAGCUGCCAGUGUGGCGGGCAGCCGGGCCACCCAGGGCCACCGUGGAAGGCAUGUGGUAG